AACGUACGCUGGCGGCACGCCUAACACAUGCAAGUCGAACGAAGUAGCAAUACUUAGUGGCAGACGGGUGAGUAACAUGUAGGUAUCUGCCCUUUGGCCUGGAAUAACACGAGGAAACUUGUGCUAAUACCGGAUAAGUCUUUACGGAGAAAGCUUUAUGCACCAUUGGAUGAGCCUGCACUUGAUUAGUUUGUUGGUGGGGUAAUGGCCUACCAAGACUGUGAUCAAUAGCUGAUUUGAGAGGAUGAUCAGCCACAUUGGGACUGAGACACGGCCCAAACUCCUACGGGAGGCAGCAGUGGGGAAUCUUGCACAAUGGAGGAAACUCUGAUGCAGCGAUGCCGCGUGAGUGAAGAAGGCCCUUGGGUUGUAAAGCUCUUUCGUCGGGGAAGAAAAUGACUGUACCCGAAUAAGAAGGUCCGGCUAACUUCGUGCCAGCAGCCGCGGUAAUACGAAGGGACCUAGCGUAGUUCGGAAUUACUGGGCUUAAAGAGUUCGUAGGUGGUUGAAAAAGUUGGUGGUGAAAUCCCAGAGCUUAACUCUGGAACUGCCAUCAAAACUUUUCAGCUAGAGUAUGAUAGAGGAAAGCAGAAUUUCUAGUGUAGAGGUGAAAUUCGUAGAUAUUAGAAAGAAUACCAAUUGCGAAGGCAGCUUUCUGGAUCAUUACUGACACUGAGGAACGAAAGCAUGGGUAGCGAAGAGGAUUAGAUACCCUCGUAGUCCAUGCCGUAAACGAUGUGUGUUAGACGUUGGAAAUUUAUUUUCAGUGUCGCAGCGAAAGCGAUAAACACACCGCCUGGGGAGUACGACCGCAAGGUUA
rnacentral:rRNA from 1 species